rnacentral:rRNA from 1 species
GAUGAACGCUGGCGGCGUGCCUAAUACAUGCAAGUCGAGCGAACGGACGAGAAGCUUGCUUCUCUGAUGUUAGCGGCGGACGGGUGAGUAACACGUGUAUAACCUACCUAUAAGACUGGGAUAACUUCGGGAAACCGGAGCUAAUACCGGAUGAUAUUUUGAACCGCAUGGUUCAAAAGUGAAAGACGGUCUUGCUGUCUCUUAUAGAUGGAUCCGCGCUGCAUUAGCUAGUUGGUAAGGUAACGGCUUACCAAGGCAACGAUGAAUAGCCGACCUGAGAGGGUGAUCGGCAACACGGGAACUGAGACACGGAACAGAAUACUAAGGGAGGAAGCAGUAGGGAAUAUGCCGAAAUGGGCGAAAGAAUGACGGAGAAACGCCGAGCGAGUGAUGAAGGUAUUAGGAUCGUAAAACUCUGUUAGUAGGGAAGAACAUAUGUGUAAGGAAAUGUGCACAUCUUGACGGUAAAUAAUCAGAAAGAAACGGCUAACUACGUG